rnacentral:rRNA from 1 species
AUGGCGGAACGGGCCAAUCUGGUCUUUCAUAAUAAAGAGAUAGACGGAACUGGUAUGAAACGACUUAUUAGCAGAUUAAUAGAUCAUUUUGGAAUGGGAUAUACAUCUCAUAUACUGGAUCAACUAAAGACUCUGGGCUUCCAUCAAGCCACUACUACAUCGAUUUGGUUAGGAAUCGAGGAUCUUUUAACAAUACCCUCUAAGGGAUGGUUAGUCCAAGACGCGGAACAACAGAGUUUUCUUUUGGAGAAACACUAUUAUUAUGGGGCUGUACACGCGGUAGAAAAAUUACGCCAAUCUGUUUAGAUAUGGUAUGCGACAAGUGAAUAUUUGAAACAAGAAACGAAUUCAAUUUUUCGGAUAACGGAUCCUUCUAAUCCAGUCUAUCUAAUGUCUUUUUCAGGAGCCAGAGGAAAUGCAUCUCAAGUACACCAAUUAGUAGGUAUGAGAGGAUUAAUGUCGGACCCUCAAGGACAAAUGAUUGAUUUACCUAUUCAAAGCAAUUUACGUGAGGGACUUUCUUUGACAAAAUAUAUAAUUUCUUGCUAUGGAGCCCGCAAAGGGGUUGUAGAUACUGCUGUGCGAACAACAGAUGCUGGAUAUCUUACACGUAGACUUGUUGAAGUAGUUCAACAUAUUAUUGUGCAUAGAAGAGAUUGUGGUACUAUCCGAGGUAUUUCUGUAAGUCCUCAAAAUGGGAUGACGGAAAAACUUUUCGUCCAAACACUAAUUGGUCGUGUAUUAGCAGACGAUAUA